rnacentral:rRNA from 1 species
AAACGACUCUCGGCAACGGAUAUCUAGGCUCUCGCAUCGAUGAAGAACGUAGCAAAAUGCGAUACUUGGUGUGAAUUGCAGAAUCCCGCGAAUCAUCGAGUUUUUGAACGCAAGUUGCGCCCGAAGCCAUUCGGCCGAGGGCACGUCUGCCUGGGUGUCACGC